AGCCCACCUAGGAGUUCUCCCUUCCUUGCUGCAUUCUUUUUUCUUCUGAACAUUCAUGCUAAGUCCCAAAUUAAAAAUCCAGAAGAACCUGAUACAAUUACUGUCUCUCUGUGUUGGUGAAGAAGAAAUCAUUAGAAAUGGAAUGCUACUGAAGGUGACAUUGGUAAAGCAAAACCAAUGUAUACUUACUCAAAGGCAGGACCAAUGAUUGUCAUGCGAUGCUAAGUCCCAAAAACAGAAGAACCAAUGUAUACAUUGGAACGUUGUUGUUGUUUCCUCCUUAGUAUACUGGCCCUGAUCCUUAGAAUUUUGCCUAGCUGUUGUAGCAACGACCUCACCUAAAUUCACCUCACCAUCACAUGUAGUAGCAGUCUGCUCAUUGCACUUGGGAUUUUCCCCUCGUAACUUCUGUUCGUGCUCUCCACCAUAACUGAUUUUUCAGCUAGCUCAACAGAUGCAGUAGCAGGUUGAGCAUGUAAUUCUUGAAUCAGAAAUACAAACAUGUGUCCUCGAUGCAUAUCGCACCAAUCCCGGGCACUUUUGGACUAAUAAUUUGAAAACAUACUAGCUAAGGCACGAUCAACAUAAACAUCAGUCCGUUUUGUUCGUCAACAACAGGUCUCUGUAACUAAAUUCAUUGGACUUGUCUGCUAUUGCUUUCUGUAUCUUUUUCCUGGGAUAACUGUUUUGAUUCCUGAUGUUCUGAUUGUACCCAAUGUUGCUUUUUUUUUAUUCUGAGUGCCUACUGCUGUCCUUCUCCUUGAUAAGAAUGUUUAAAGAAAAACUAUGAACUGCAUGAGAUAUUGAUAUAUGAUCUUAACUCUUAAGUAAUUAUGUAUAGGUUUCUGUUAAUUUUCUUUUGAAA
rnacentral:lncRNA from 1 species